CUACGGGGCGCUCCAGUGAGGAAUUUUGCGCAAUGGGGGGAACCCUGACGCAGCAACGCCGUGUGAGUGAAGAAGGCCUUUGGGUCGUAAAGCUCUGUCAACUAGGAAGAAGUUACUGUGCUUUAAUAGAGUGCAGUAUUGACGGUACCAGUGGAGGAAGCGUCGGCUAACUCCGUGCCAGCAGCCGCGGUAACACGGGGGACGCAAGCGUUAUUCGGAAUUAUUGGGCGUAAAGGGCGCGUAGGCGGUCUUGUCGGUCAGGUGUGAAAGCCCGGGGCUCAACCCCGGACGUGCACUUGAAACAGCAAGACUUGAGUACGGGAGAGGAAAGCGGAAUUCCUGGUGUAGAGGUGAAAUUCGUAGAUAUCAGGAGGAACACCGAUGGCGAAGGCAGCUUUCUGGACCGAAACUGACGCUGAGGCGCGAAGGCGUGGGUAGCGAACGGGAUUAGAUACCCGUGUAGUC
rnacentral:rRNA from 1 species